rnacentral:lncRNA from 1 species
AGAGAGAGAGAGAGAGAGAAGAUGGUCGUGAGUUUGAGGGAUUUAUUUUUUAUUUUUUUAUUUUUUAAUUAUUUUUAAUUAUAAUUUCAUUAAGGAUAUAUAUGUCAAGUUAUUCAAAAAGUGGAUAUUAUUUAUAGGGUAAAUAUCAUAUUAAACCUUAAACUAGGGUCGUAAAUGAAUCGAAUCGAAGCGAAUAUCACUGUAUUCGAUUUGUAUUCAUGAAAUUAUUUAAGAUUCGAAUCAAUAUUCGAAUACCUUUCGAAU